rnacentral:rRNA from 1 species
UACGUAGGGUGCAAGCGUUAAUCGGAAUUACUGGGCGUAAAGCGUGCGCAGGCGGUUAUGUAAGACAGAUGUGAAAUGCCCGGGCUUAACCUGGGAACUGCAUUUGUGACUGCAUGGCUAGAGUUUGGCAGAGGGGGGGUAGAAUUCCACGUGUAGCAGUGAAAUGCGUAGAUAUGUGGAGGAACACCGAUGGCGAAGGCAGCCCCCUGGGUCAAGACUGACGCUCAUGCACGAAAGCGUGGGGAGCAAACAGGAUUAGAGUACCC